rnacentral:rRNA from 1 species
GUGGGGAAUCUUGCGCAAUGGGCGAAAGCCUGACGCAGCCAUGCCGCGUGAAUGAUGAAGGUCUUAGGAUUGUAAAAUUCUUUCACCGGGGACGAUAAUGACGGUACCCGGAGAAGAAGCUCCGGCUAACUUCGUGCCAGCAGCCGCGGUAAUACGAAGGGGGCUAGCGUUGCUCGGAAUUACUGGGCGUAAAGGGCGCGUAGGCGGACAGCUUAGUCAGAGGUGAAAGCCCAGGGCUCAACCUUGGAAUUGCCUUUGAUACCGGCUGUCUUGAGUUUGGGAGAGGUGAGUGGAACUCCGAGUGUAGAGGUGAAAUUCGUAGAUAUUCGGAAGAACACCAGUGGCGAAGGCGACUCACUGGCCCAAUACUGACGCUGAGGCGCGAAAGCGUGGGGAGCAAACAGGAUUAGAAACCCCGGUAGUCC